UAGGGAAUCUUCCACAAUGGGCGAAAGCCUGAUGGAGCAACGCCGCGUGUGUGAUGAAGGGUUUCGGCUCGUAAAACACUGUUGUUAAAGAAGAACGUGGGUAAGAGUAACUGUUUACCCAGUGACGGUAUUUAACCAGAAAGCCACGGCUAACUACGUGCCAG
rnacentral:rRNA from 1 species